rnacentral:rRNA from 1 species
GAUUAGCUAGUAGGUGGGGUAAAGGCUCACCWAGGCGACGAUCUSUAGCUGGUCUGAGAGGAUGAUCAGCCACACUGGGACUGAGACACGGCCCRGACUCCUACGGGAGGCAGCAGUGGGGAAUAUUGCACAAUGGGSGCAASCCUGAUSCAGCCAUGCCGCGUGUAUGAAGAAGGCCUUAGGGUUGUAAAGUACUUUCAGCGGGGAGGAAGGUGAUAAGGUUAAUACCCUUAUCAAUUGACGUUACCYGCAGAAGAAGCACCGGCUAACUCCGUGCCAGCAGCCGCGGUAAUACGGAGGGUGCAAGCGUUAAUCGGAAUUACUGGGCGUAAAGCGCRCGCAGGCGGUCAAUUAAGUCAGAUGUGAAASCCCCGASCUUACCUUGGGAAUUGCAUCUGAAACUGGUUGGCUAGAGUCUUGUAGAGGGRGGUAGAAUUCCAKGUGUAGCGGUGAAAUGCGUAGAGAUGUGGAGGAAUACCGRUGGCGAAGGCRGCCCCCUGGMCAAAGACUGACGCUCAGGUGCGAAAGCGUGGGGAGCAACCAGGAUUAGA